AAUCCUCAACCCCACCGAUUUGCUUCGGGGGGAUUGGACUUGGAGCGUGCUGGCGAAGGUCGGCUCCUCUUUAAAUGCAUCAGUGGAGAAAGAAAGCUCGUCCCAGUGUGAUAAUCCUGUUGCGCUGUGGUGGGGUGAAAAUUCCGCUUCCAACCCGUCCUCCGGGACAAGACAUCUCA
rnacentral:misc_RNA from 1 species